AGGAUUAACGCUGGCGGCGUGCCUAACACAUGCAAGUCGAACGAGGUAGCAAUACCUAGUGGCAGACGGGUGAGUAACGCGUGGUCAACCUACCGUUGAGUGGGGGAUAACUAGCCGAAAGGUUAGCUAAUACCGCAUACGUCUCCGAGGGGCAUCUCUUGGCGAUAAAAGGAGCAAUCCGCUCGAUGACGGGACCGCGUCCCAUUAGCUAGAUGGUGGGGUAACGGCCUACCAUGGCACCGAUGGGUAGCUGGUUUGAGAGAGCGACCAGCCACACUGGGACUGAGAAACGGCCCAGACUCCUACGGGAGGCAGCAGUGAGGAAUUUUCCGCAAUGGGCGCAAGCCUGACGGAGCGACGCCGCGUGUGGGAAGAAGGCCUUCGGUCGUAACCACUGUCGAAGGGACGAUAAUGACGGUACCCUUGGAGGAAGCCCGGCUAACUACGUGCCAGCAGCCGC
rnacentral:rRNA from 1 species